GAAACUUGUUAAAUGAAGUAAACUUUGUGUUUAGAUUUGUUCUUGCCCCAAGAAACUCUGCUUGUGAUAAGUCAUUUUAAUUAAUAACUCUGCUUGGCGACAAUGUGUUUUGAAAGAGCAGGGGACUCCUACUGGGAGAAAAAGUCUAAGGUUGCUGGUCUUAGGGCAACUGCAAACCAUUUGCGUGAUUUGAAUCCUGAGGAUGUGCACGAAAUUCUUAGGCAAGCUGCUGAAAUUUUUGAAGGAAUAGGAAUAAUUAAUAUUGUAGCUCAAUGUCUUUCAGAUUUGGGGGAUCAUGAAAAAGCUGCGUCUUCUUCUAGCACCUUCUACACCAACCUCAAGUUUUGCACCAAACCCAACAGUAACAAAGCUUUUUCUUUGUCACAAGAAUAAUAAUAAUCAUAUAUCAUGAAGACAACAUCAAUAACAUCAACAGCAACUUGAACUGAAGGAAACUCAUAUUGAGAAGCAGUAAAAUAGCAACCAUUGGUGCUAUCUUCAAUUUCUAAA